GUAUUUUCAAAGAUUUUUAUGUCUUCCCUUGCAAAGUGAAUAGUUAACCAUACGCAGUGUGGACGCAAAAUAAAAAAUGUUGCUCAUACGCAACGUUGGCUCCUAAGGGGUUAACCGAAUUUCGGGCCAGACUAUCAGUGGUCCUGCCUGGUCCUGACCUGGGCCAUUCAUUCUCGCGCUGGUGUCGAGCCUAGUCCGAGGUCCUGGAACACUACCCCGUAUCCUUUGGCGCGUCUUUGACAUUAUGAAUGAUCAGCAUAAAUUUCCCAGAGCUCUCGCGUUCCAAGGCCCAGCUGCAAAUGCUCCGUCGAGGACAAAAAAAAAUGAAAAAAAGGAGCGGAAAAGCAAGAGGGGCCACGGCAAACGGAGCCAGAUAACUAGCGAACAAAGUGAAGGACGGGCUCUGAAAUUCAUUUCAUUUCAUUUCCUUUCUUCAAGCGAGAGUUCUAAGUCCAGAAUCCUGAGUCCUGAAUCCUGAGUCCUGAAACCCCAGCUAAUGAGACUUUCUAUGGAAUUUGAACAUUUCUUAAACCCAAAUCGUGUCCGGAUUGGUUCAUUCAUAGGUCAACAAAACCCGAGCCCGAGAGAGCAAAUAAUGUCAAACGCAAAGGAGGGAUAACGAAAAACUAAAUUCAGUUUACAUAAUAUAGCUCAUAAAAUAUU